rnacentral:misc_RNA from 1 species
GAUGAAGAACGCAGCGAAAUGCGAUAAGUAGUGUGAAUUGCAGAAUUCAGUGAAUCAUCGAAUCUUUGAACGCACAUUGCGCCCCUUUGUAUUCCAUGGGGCAUGCCUGUUCGAGCGUCAUUUGUACCUUCAAGCUCUGCUUGGUGUUGGGUGUUUGUCUCGCCUCUGCGCGUAGACUCGCCUCAAAACAAUUGGCAGCCGGCGUAUUGAUUUCGGAGCGCAGUACAUCUCGCGCCUUGCACUCAUAACGACGACGUCCAAAAGUACAUUUUUACACUCUUGACCUCGGAUCAGGUAGGGAUACCCGCUGAACUUAAACAUAUCAAUAAGCGGAGGA